ACAAUUAUCCGCGUCCUGGACGUCCUUUGGUUGGUGUUUUUUUGGGAGACCAGGGCGGACCAGGAACAGAGAAAGAUUUACACAGUAAGAGAUAGAAACAGGAAACCGGAGAAAGGAAGCAGUAGAUUUCAAUUUGUUAGGUCUUGCUAGUUUUUGGUGAAGGAUAGCUUGCUCGAAGCCGCUUCAAGCAGUACUACUUGGGGGAACCUUUCCAGUAUCAACACACCCAAUUCUCAUAUAAGGCAUUGCAAUUGAUAGAAUCAAAGGCUGGACAUGGAUCAAAUUGCUGGCCCAAGCAGUUGACGAGGUAUGAAUUGAGGCUUUUCUUUGAUACACCUAACCAUGUAACCUAUAUUUAUGAAAAUCAAAUAAAAUUGUUUGGAAUCUAUUAAACACUAUGCUUAAAUAUAUUAUAGCUUUGUACAAUACAGAUCAACCCAGUUACUCACCA